AUUGAACGCUGGCGGCAGGCCUAACACAUGCAAGUCGAGCGGCAGCGGGAAAGUAGCUUGCUACUUUUGCCGGCGAGCGGCGGACGGGUGAGUAAUGCCUGGGAAAUUGCCCAGUCGAGGGGGAUAACAGUUGGAAACGACUGCUAAUACCGCAUACGCCCUACGGGGGAAAGCAGGGGACCUUCGGGCCUUGCGCGAUUGGAUAUGCCCAGGUGGGAUUAGGCAGUUGGUGAGGUAAUGGCUCACCAAGGCGACGAUCCCUAGCUGGUCUGAGAGGAUGAUCAGCCACACUGGAACUGAGACACGGUCCAGACUCCUACGGGAGGCAGCAGUGGGGAAUAUUGCACAAUGGGGGAAACCCUGAUGCAGCCAUGCCGCGUGUGUGAAGAAGGCCUUCGGGUUGUAAAGCACUUUCAGCGAGGAGGAAAGGUUGUUGGCUAUAUCCAACAGCUGUGACGUUACUCGCAGAAGAAGCAUCGGCUAACUCCGUGCCAGCAGCCGCCGUAAUAC
rnacentral:rRNA from 1 species